GAGGGUAUAGCUCGGGGGCAGAGUGUGUGCCUAACAAGCACAAGAUCCUGGGUUCAAUCCUCAGGACCUUCA
rnacentral:tRNA from 1 species